UUCGCGUUUGCACUGUACUUGCUCGUGAAACUGGUGGCACAUACCAUCGUUAUUUUAGAUGAAAGCCAUUACAAAGAGUUGCUCACACAUCAUGUUAGUCCUCCUCCUGCUAGCUCAAGUUCUGAAUGCUCCCUUAUUCGUAUGGGUAAGUGUUUUAUGUUAUUAAAAAUAUGUAUCUAGGCUCUCUAUUUAUUUGCACAAGUAUAUUUUAAUAUUUAAGAAGUUUUAAGAAAAAAUACGCUUGUUGAAGACAUUUUGGAAAGUACAGAGAAGUAAAAAAAAAAAAAAAGAAAAAUCAAAACACAGUUAGUCUGUCACCCAGAAAUACUGUUGGCUUUCUUUAUUUUUAAGGUAGAAAGGUAUAAACUGUGUUUAUAGAAAAAUACUUAUAUUAAGCUGGACGUGGUGGCUCACACAUGUAAUCCCAGCACUUUGGGAGGCCAAGGUGGGCGAAUCAUGAGGUCAGAAGAUCAAGACCAUCCUGGCUAACACAGUGAAACCCCAUCUAUACUAAAAAUACAAAAAAAUUAGCCGGGUGUGGUGGCGGGUGCUGUAGUCCCAGCUGUACUCGGAGGCUGAGGCACGAGAAUGGUGUGAACCCAGGAGGCAGAGCUGGCAAUGAGCCGAGAUCGCGCCACUGCCACUCUAGCCUGGGUGACAGAGCAAGACUCCGUCUCA